CGCCAGGGAAUUACGAGCCCCAGCUUAAAACCCAAAGGACUUGACGGUGUCCCACCCCACUAGAGGAGCCUGUUCUACAACCGAUAAUCCACGUUAUACCUAACCAUUUUUUGCUUUUCAGCCUGUAUACCUCCGUCGCAAGCUUACCAUGUGAACGCACAAUAGCAAGCUUAAGGGUCCCAAAGCCAACACGUCAGGUCAAGGUGCAGCUCAUGAAAUGGAAAGUGAUGGGCUACAAUUUCUACUUUAGAACAAACGAAAUUCUUCAUGAAACACAGUACGAAGGCGGAUUUAGCAGUAAAUAGGCAAUAGAGAGCCCUAUUAAAUUUGGCCCUGGGACGUGUACACACCGCCCGUCACCCUCUUCAAUAAAGCCCCGCCCUAUUCAUAAACUUCAACCCACAUCUUAGAAGAGGCAAGUCGAAACAUGGUAAGUGUACUGGAAAGUGCACUUGGAAAA
rnacentral:rRNA from 1 species